rnacentral:rRNA from 1 species
GGCUCUUUGAUUAGUUUAUAUAAAGAGUUGAACCUGCCCGGUGAUAUAUAUUUAACGGCCGCGGUACUCUGACCGUGCAAAGGUAGCAUAAUCAUUUGCCUUAUAAUUGAAGGCUAGUAUGAAUGGUUUGAUGAAAACAAAGCUGUCUCUUUUUAAUUUUUUAGAACUUGAUUUUUAGGUGAAGAAGCCUAAAUAUAAUUGAAAGACAAGAAGACCCUAUCGAGCUUUAAAAAAUUUUAUUAAAAUAAAAGUUAUAAAAACUAAUAAUAAUAAAAAAUUUUAGUUGGGGCGACUAAGGAACAAAAAAGCUUCCAAUCUAAUACUAAUAACAUAUUGGUUUUGAUCCAAAAUUUUUGAUUAAAAGAAUUAGUUACCGUAGGGAUAACAGCAUAAUCUUUUUUGAGAGCCCUUAUCGAAAAAAAGGUUUGUGACCUCGAUGUUGGACUAGAAUAUCCUAAACGGCGCAGAAGUCUUUAAUGGUUGGUCUGUUCGACCACUAAUAUUCUACGUGAUCUGAGUUCAGACCGG